UCCAUUACAGAUUUGAUAAUUAUAUUUAAUUGGUGAUUAUUCGUAUCCUCGUAAAAUAAACUUUGUUUGUCUAUAAAUUUGCGUUUUUCUCAGUAAAAAAGUUAGAUGAAUCGCUUCUCUCUAAUAAUGUGAGAAGUGUUGUCUCUCGCACGCGGUAUUUUUACACAAUCGAUCAAUGCAGUUUCUCUUGUGUUGCACAUAUGACUCGUUCCGUGAGCACUAACGAGUGUACAAGAAACCAAACAAGGGCACAAAAGAGAAACUCGAGACACUCACGCAUCCACGGAGAAAGAAAUGACCAAAGACAUCGUUGAUCCAAAUGUUUGACCGUUCCAGGUAGCCAUAUCUCAGGAGCUGCUGGUGCUGAGUCAUGUUGAGUCAGAAGGAGGCCACUCUUAUCUCCUGUCUCCAGGAGGACUUUUUCAGGCUGUUGGGUGUGGGGUGAAACAGGAACCCUGGAUGAUGGUGGCUUGUUUUUUUCAGGACAACCUGUUAUUUGUGUAGGUUUGUGACCCUCUGGAGAGCCAGAAAGUUUUUCUUCUUGUGAUAUCAUAAUAAACGGAGUAAAAACUGGCUGUGACAUUACAGAGGGACAGUCUAAUCUCCAGAGACGACAUUGAGGGAAUGCUUUUGGUGUAGGGUGACUCAGCAAACUGUGUUCUAGCUCCAGACAUUGCCAGCAGAGCAGAGAAGAGACUCGCAGAGCCACUGAGGUGCAUGAUGACUCGCACAAACUGCUAUGGCUGAGAGCAUGCGUAGCCUUUUUGGGGGUUAUGAUAAUAAAUGUGUUUUCUUCAGUCAAUAAACUUUUGGACUGUUA